GACGAACGCUGGCGGCGUGCUUAACACAUGCAAGUCGAACGAAGAGCGACGGAAGCUUGCUUCUAUCAAUCUUAGUGGCGAACGGGUGAGUAACGCGUAAUCAACCUGCCCUUCAGAGGGGGACAACAGUUCGAAACGACUGCUAAUACCGCAUACGAUCUAAUCUCGGCAUCGAGGAUGGAUGAAAGGUGGCCUCUACACGUAAGCUAUCACUGAAGGAGGGGAUUGCGUCUGAUUAGCUAGUUGGGGGGGUAACGGCCCACCAAGGCGAUGAUCAGUAGCCGGUCUGGGAGGAUGAACGGCCACAUUGGGACUGAGACACGGCCCAGACUCCUACGGGAGGCAGCAGUGGGGAAUCUUCCGCAAUGGACGAAAGUCUGACGGGGCAACGCCGCGUGAGUGAUGACGGCCUUCGGGUUGUAAAGCUCUGUUAAUCGGGACGAAAGGCCUUCUUGCGAAUAGUGAGAAGGAUUGACGGUACCGGAAUAGAAAGCCACGGCUAACUACGUG
rnacentral:rRNA from 1 species